CCUACGGGAGGCAGCAGUGGGGAAUAUUGGGCAAUGGGCGCAAGCCUGACCCAGCAACGCCGCGUGAAGGAAGAAGGCUCUCGGGUUGUAAACUUCUUUUCUCAGGGACGAAGCAAGUGACGGUACCUGAGGAAUAAGCCACGGCUAACUUCGUGCCAGCAGCCGCGGUAAUACGUAGGUGGCAAGCGUUAUCCGGAUUUACUGGGGGUAAAGGGCGUGUAGGCGGGGGAGCAAGUCAGAUGUGAAAACCACGGGCUCAACCUGUGGCCUGCAUUUGAUACUGUGUUUCUUGAGUACUGGAGAGGCAGGCGGAAUUCCGAGUGUAGCGGUGAAAUGCGUAGAUAUUAGGAAGAACACCAGUGGCGAAGGCGGUCUGCUGGAAAGCAACUGACGCUGAGGCGCGAAAGCGUGGGGAGCAAACAGGAUUAGAUACCCGUGUAGUC
rnacentral:rRNA from 1 species